GACGUAGGGCGCGAGCGUUGUCCGGAUUUAUUGGGCGUAAAGAGCUCGUAGGCGGUGUGUCGCGUCGGCCGUGAAAACCUGGGGCUCAACUCUGGGCGUGCGGUCGAUACGGGCAUCACUUGAGUUCGGCAGGGGAGACUGGAAUUCCUGGUGUAGCGGUGAAAUGCGCAGAUAUCAGGAGGAACACCGGUGGCGAAGGCGGGUCUCUGGGCCGAUACUGACGCUGAGGGGCGAAAGCAUGGGUAGCGAACAGG
rnacentral:rRNA from 1 species